rfam:Nematostella vectensis strain CH2 x CH6 NEMVEscaffold_3_Cont613, whole genome shotgun sequence.
GCAAAUGAUGAGACAUUUGAACAAGAAUAGGAAUUGCCGUCAGAGCGAUAACUGACGAAUACUCAUACUCUGAUG